AGAUUUCUAUCCUUUUCAUAUUUCUGUAGCCAUGUGCUUUGGAGAUUCAUAGAUCAUUAGAAGAGAAGCUGGCAUUGUUGGAUGUGGCCAUCCAACUUGGUGAUGGAGAUGUGUUAACAAGAAUCUUGCUGUUUUUCAAGAAGACCAUCAAACCAA